rnacentral:rRNA from 1 species
CUGGCGGCAGGCUUACACAUGCAAGUCGAGCGGUAACAGAGAUAGCUUGCUAUCUGCUGACGAGCGGCGGACGGGCGAGUAAUGCUUGGGAAUAUGCCUUUAGGUGGGGGACAACAGUUGGAAACGACUGCUAAUACCGCAUAAUGUCUACGGACCAAAGAGGGGGACCUUCGGGCCUCUUGCCUUUAGAUUAGCCCAAGUGAGAUUAGCUAGAUGGUGGGGUAAUGGCUUACCAUGGCGACGAUCUCUAGCUGGUUUGAGAGGAUGAUCAGCCACACUGGGACUGAGACACGGCCCAGACUCCUACGGGAGGCAGCAGUGGGGAAUAUUGCACAAUGGGCGCAAGCCUGAUGCAGCCAUGCCGCGUGUGUGAAGAAAGCCUUCGGGUUGUAAAGCACUUUCAGUAAGGAGGAAAGGUUAAGUGUUAAUAGCACUUAGCUGUGACGUUACUUACAGAAGAAGCACCGGCUAACUCCGUGCCAGCAGCCGCGGUAAUACGGAGGGUGCGAGCGUUAAUCGGAAUUACUGGGCGUAAAGCGUACCAGCGGUUUGUUAGCGAGAUGU